AUUGAACGCUGGCGGCAGGCCUAACACAUGCAAGUCGAACGGUAACAGGAAAUAGCUUGCUGUUUCGCUGACGAGUGGCGGACGGGUGAGUAAUGUCUGGGAAACUGCCUGAUGGAGGGGGAUAGCUACUGGAAACGGUAGCUAAUACCGCAUAACGUCGCAAGACCAAAGAGGGGGACCUUCGGGCCUCUUGCCAUCGGAUGUGCCCAGAUGGGAUUAGCUAGUAGGUGGGGUAACGGGUCACCUAGGCGACGAUCCCUAGCUGGUCUGAGAUGAUGACCCACCACACUGCAGCUGAGACACGGUCCAGACUCCUACGGGAGGCAGCAGUGGUUCAUAUUGCACAAUGGGCGCAAGCCUGAUGCAGCCAUAUCGCGUGUAUGAAGAAGGCCUUCGGGUUGUAAAGUACUUUCAGCGGGGAGGAAGGGAGUAAAGUUAAUACCUUUGCUCAUUGGCGUUACCCGCAGAAGAAGCACCGACUAACUCCGUGCCAGCCGCCGCCGUAA
rnacentral:rRNA from 1 species